UGUCAUCCCUGGUAUAUCUGGGGUCAGGACACUGCUGCGCCUAUAAGAGCACCUCUUGUCUUCUCACAUAAGGCCCUGAAGUGUCCUCUCCUGCAUGAAAAUCCUCUUCCUGCUUGUCCUUGGAGAACCUGCACAUGUCUGCCUCCUCUGUGAAGCCUUCCUUGACUGGUCACCCAUGCUUCCAGAAACAUCCUCUUUGGGAAUCCUGAAAUAUAAUGUAGGAAGACUGACUUCUGCAGAUUACCAUACUGGAAUGUCCAAGGCAGGUGGGAUGGAGAUGAGCUCUAUACAUAGUUGUCUGGCAAGUGGCUUCAGGUGAUUAUUCCUAAGAAUCCAGGUGAGUAUGUGUCAGAAGCAUUCUGAGAAAGAACUCCAUUAACUUGCAUAUUGGACUUCAGUCACAGAGAGUCAUGAAGAGAGGGUAACUGGGAAAUGCAAAAGAAACUAAAUCUCAAAGACAAACUAUUGGUUUCCUGG